AUUGAACGCUGGCGGCAUGCUUACACAUGCAAGUCGAACGGUAACAGGGAGCUUGCUCCGCUGACGAGUGGCGAACGGGUGAGUAAUGCGUCGGAACGUGCCGAGUAGUGGGGGAUAACGCAUCGAAAGGUGUGCUAAUACCGCAUACGAACUGAGGUUGAAAGUGGGGGACCUUCGGGCCUCACGCUAUUCGAGCGGCCGACGUCUGAUUAGCUAGUUGGUGGGGUAAAGGCUAACCAAGGCGACGAUCAGUAGCGGGUCUGAGAGGAUGAUCCGCCACACUGGGACUGAGACACGGCCCAGACUCCUACGGGAGGCAGCAGUGGGGAAUUUUGGACAAUGGGCGCAAGCCUGAUCCAGCCAUGCCGCGUGUCAGAAGAAGGCCUUCGGGUUGUAAAGGACUUUUGUCCGGGAGCAAAUGCUGGUGGCUAACAUCCACCGGAGCUGAGAGUACCGGAAGAAUAAGCACCGGCUAACUACGUGCCAGCCGCCGCAGUAAGAC
rnacentral:rRNA from 1 species